rnacentral:rRNA from 1 species
UACGUAGAGAGCAAGCGUUGUCCGGAUUUAUUGGGCGUAAAGAGCUCGUAGGCGGUUUAGCAAGUCAGGUGUGAAAACUCCAGGCUCAACCUGGAGACGCCACUUGAUACUGCUAUGACUUGAGUUUGGUAGGGGUAAGCUGGAAUUCCUGGGUGUAGCGGUGAAAUGCGCAGAUAUCAGGAGGAACACCGAUGGCGAAGGCAGCUUACUGGGCCAAUACUGACGCUGAGGAGCGAAAGC